GAAAAUUUGUUUUCUGAAAAAAUUGCAAUUUGUUUAAAUGUCGAGACGAUUAAAUUUGGGUCGGCGAACGCGAAAUUCGUUUCAAGUUGUGGCUUCAAGGAGCCGUGAAAGUAGGCAAGACAUUACAUAUCGCAAUGAAAAUAAUCGUCUACGCACAGCAAGGUCCCGUUCAAAUCAACGGAACAAUGAUGCAACAACAACUGCAAAUGAACGUCGUGAUAUUCAAAAUCUACAAGGUGUUGCGUUCGCGUACAGUAGUGUCACCGAUUACGCUUCUCAUAGGCAAAUUGUAAUUGGUCCAAUGAACGACCGUUGUCGCCAUUGUCAGGCAUUAAAAUUUAAAGGUGAAGCAAAUGGGAUGUGCUGUGCGAGUGGUAAAGUGAAAUUGCCUGAAUUAGGCAGCCCACCACAACCAUUGAGCACAUUACUUAAUGGAUUGACACCUGAGUCUAAUCAUUUUUUGAACAAUAUAAUUCGAGUUUUCAAAUGACAUCUUUUGGCGCCACAAAUAUUAUAAGAGACAACUUCAUGCCAACGUUUAAGAUUCAAGGUCAAAUAUAUCAUCGAGCUGGCUCUUUGUUACCUUUCGACAACGCAGACCACCAAUUUUUGCAAUUAUAUUUUAUCGGGAACGCGGAAGACGAAGUUGAUCGUCGGUGUGCCAUUAUUACCAACACGCGGAGACAAAUUAUUUUCGAUUUGCAAAAUAUGUUCCAUGAGCACAACGAAUUGGUUCAGGUUUUCAAAACAUCGCUUGAUCGAAUGCCAUCUGACGAUCAUAAAAUUGUUAUUCGAGCUGAUAAAACACCGGUUGGCGAACAUGCAAGGCGUUUCAAUGCACAAACAGUUGACGAAGUGGCAAUAGUCAUAGUUGAUGAACAAUUUAAUAAUCGUGAUAUUGUGCUUCAUCGUAGAAAUGAACAACUCGAACGUGUAUCCGAGACUCAUCGCUGUUAUGAUGCACUACAAUAUCCCAUAUUGUUUUGGAGCGGACAAGAUGGCUAUUAUUUCAACAUUAAAAUCAUAAAUCCAGUAAACGGUCGAGAAGGAACAAAGAAAGUUAGUGCUAUGAAUUAUUACGCAUACAGGCUGCAGAUACGGCAAAAUCAAGACAACCACAUAUUGAGGUGUAGAGCACUUUUCCACCAGUAUAUUGUUGACAUGUAUGCAAAAAUUGAAUCGGAACGGUUAAAUUUUCUUCGAUUCAACCAAAUUCAAAAUUACGUUCCGAAGAGUAUGUUCAUUUGCGUGAUGCCAUUAACAACGAUGGUAAUGCACAAAACGUUGGAACUAUGAUAAUAUUACCGUCAUCGUAUGUUGGAAGUCCACGUCAUAUGUUUGAGUACGCGCAAGAUGCGAUGUCAUACGUUCGCCGUUACGGUCGACCAGACCUCUUCAUCACCUUCACGUGUAAUCCGCAAUGGGAAGAAAUCUCGGAAUUAUUGUUUGUUGGCCAAACAUCGAAAGAUCGCCAUGAUAUUUUAGCACGUGAUUUUAGACAAAAAUUGAAAUCACUCAUGGAUUUAAUUGUCAAACACGGUGCAUUUGGGUCUGUUCAAUGUUGGAUGUAUUCAAUUGAAUGGCAGAUACGAGGUUUGCCUCAUGCGCAUAUUUUAAUUUGGCUGAUUAAAAAAAUAAGGCCGAAUCAAAUUGACGAUGUGAUUCCGGCAGAAAUUCCAGAUCCGACAGUGGAUCCUGAAUUGUUUGAAGUGGUCACCAAAAAUAUGAUUCACGGUCAAUGUGGUGCGUUGAAUUUGAAUUCACCCUGUAUGGUUGUAGGGAAAUGCUCCAAACGUUUUCCAAAAAAUUUGGUCUCCAAAACGGACGGGCAACGAUGGAUAUCCCGAAUAUCGAUCAAAAUUCGGUUACUUUGAGAGUUAAAAAUCAAGAUUUGGAGAUUGAUAAUCGUUGGGUUGUGCCAUAUUCACCGUUAUUAUCUAAGAUUUAUAAAGCGCACAAAAACGUAGAGGUCUGCAAUUCAGUUCAAUCUAUUAAAUACAUUUGCAAAUACAUCAACAAGGGCAGUGAUAUGGCUGUUUUUGGAGCAGUUGCUAAUGUUACCGAUGAAAUCACUCAAUUUCAAAUGGGCAGAUACAUCAGUUCAAAUGAAGCAGUAUGGCGCAUAUUAUCGUUCCCGAUCCAUGAUGGGCACCCAACUGUAGUUCAUUUAGCUGUUCAUCUUGAAAACGGUCAACGCGUUUUUUUCACACCCGGAAAUGCAAUGCGAAGAGCUGCGCAACCACCAGCAACAACUCUAAAUGCAUUUUUUUCGUUGAGUCAAGCUGAUGAUUUUGCGAAAACAUUGCUAUACGCCGAAGUACCCGAAUAUUAUACGUGGAAUAAUUCGUCAAAAGUUUUUCAAAGGCGAAGACGCGGAAAAGCCGUUCAUGGUCAGCCAGUAUUGUUUCACUCAGAUGCGAUAGGACGAAUUUAUACAGUUCAUCCUAACAAUCAAGAGUGUUAUUAUUUGCGAUUGUUGCUAAUGAAUUUAAAAACUCAAUGAGUGCCAAUAAGUUUGUGAUGAUUAAUUUAAAGAAUCAUGGUUAUGAACCUAUAGUUUUUAAUCAUUUCGUUUAUAGAACGGGUCUAAUUUGUAAUAUACCAACAUCCAUUUCUGACGAAUUAUUAGCUGAAUACAUCGACUCUCCGGUUCCUAUUGAGAAAUUGAUUAGAAUUAAAACAAGAGAUAAGAGUAACAAAGAUUUAUUUGUUCCAA